UCUGGCUGUGAUGACAAACUUGCCCUCACUGAGAAGAAUCUUGAUUGAGACAUUCUUUUACUGAGCCGCC
ensembl:snoRNA